rnacentral:rRNA from 1 species
AGCAGCCGCGGUAAUUCCAGCUCCAAUAGCGUAUAUUAAAGUUGUUGCAGUUAAAAAGCUCGUAGUUGAAUUUCGGGGUCAGUAGGUUGGUCAUGCCACUGGUAUGUACUGGUCUCACUGAUUCCUCCUUCCUGAUGAACUGUAAUGCCAUUAAUUUGGUGUUGCAGGGAAUCUGGACUGUUACUUUGAAAAAAUUAGAGUGUUUAAAGCAGGCUAACGCCUGAAUACAUUAGCAUGGAAUAAUGAAAUAGGACGUUCGAUCCUAUUUUGUUGGUUUCUAGGAUUGACGUAAUGAUUAAUAGGGAUAGUUGGGGGCAUUAGUAUUCGAUUGUCAGAGGUGAAAUUCUUGGAUUUAUUGAAGACUAACUACUGCGAAAGCAUUUGCCAAGGAUGUUUUCAUUAAUCAAGAACGAAAGUUAGGGGAUCGAAGACGAUCAGAUACCGUCGUAGUCUUAACCAUAAACUAUGCCGACUAGGGAUCGGAUAAUGUUAAUUUUUAAUGA